rnacentral:lncRNA from 1 species
GUCAAAAUGUUAAAGAAACAUCGUCUCGUUGUACAUCCAUAAAGUAGCAUACAUCUCGAUGGUUCUUAAAUCUAAAAUGAUGGGUUUUCUCACUUGGAACAUCUAUGACGGAAGAUGUGCUUUCACCGGAGGACGUGUACGAACUGACCAAAGUUCCUUGAUACAAUCAUUUUAUCAACGCGAAAAAGGAGUAGUAGUAGCGUUGGCCAUAUGCAUUGGACCGCCUCUAUGUAUACGUGGUCACAAUUGAUUGUUGACAUGUCACCAUGGAAACUCGCCUAACGAAUACAAACACAAAGGGCACACCGUUUGCCCCGGCUUUCUAGGAAGGACCAUUAUUACACUCAGACAGUCCUUGUUUAGUUCUUUAAUUUUUAAUGUACCGGGAAAAUUUUCAAUAAAUUUAAAAAUGUU